UCCUACGGGGGGCAGCAGUGAGGAAUAUUGGUCAAUGGACGAAAGUCUGAACCAGCCAUGCCGCGUGCAGGAAGACGGCUCUAUGAGUUGUAAACUGCUUUUGUACAAGGGUAAACCUGGAUACGUGUAUUCAGCUGAAAGUACUGUACGAAUAAGGAUCGGCUAACUCCGUGCCAGCAGCCGCGGUAAUACGGAGGAUCCAAGCGUUAUCCGGAUUUAUUGGGUUUAAAGGGUGCGUAGGCGGUCGGAUAAGUUAGAGGUGAAAUCCCGAGGCUCAACUUCGGAAUUGCCUCUGAUACUGUUCG
rnacentral:rRNA from 1 species